CUCGCUUUUGAGGGUUACCCGAGUGUUGGUUUUCUAUUUAGACACAUCUAAGAAUGAGCCGAUGCCAUCAGUCAGUAACCUAUACAGUCGACUGUGGAGGGGCAUGAUCAGCAGAUUUACAGUAGAAGAUCACAGAAGAGACGCCAUACAGUGUUUCCCAAUCAUGGUCCUUGAGCACCCCCAACAGGUAAUUCGUUUUACAAUAAACCCUAAAAAGUACACGUUGAAAAUGAUACGGGAAGAUGCUCCCUUUAUGAACAAUGUGCAUUUACUAUUCAAUUGUAAC